rnacentral:rRNA from 1 species
GGCGGCAGGCCUAACACAUGCAAGUCGAGCGGUAGCACAAGAGAGCUUGCUCUCUGGGUGACGAGCGGCGGACGGGUGAGUAAUGUCUGGGAAACUGCCUGAUGGCGGGGGAUAACUAGUGGAAACGGUAGCUAAUACCGCAUAACGUCGCAAGACCAAAGUGGGGGACCUUCGGGCCUCACGCCAUCAGAUGUGCCCAGGUGGGAUUAGCUGGUAGGUGGGGUAACGGCUCACCUAGGCGACGAUCCCUAGCUGGUCUGAGAGGAUGACCAGCCACACUGGAACUGAGACACGGUCCAGACUCCUACGGGAGGCAGCAGUGGGGAAUAUUGCACAAUGGGCGCAAGCCUGAUGCAGC